rnacentral:sRNA from 1 species
AGGCUAAAGUCUAGCUGGCACCUUGGGGAGACUGUUGAGGACCCUUGGUGGGGAAGGAUGGUCAGGAGCACUGCAGGGAAACCUGUGGGCCCUUGAAGCCCACCGAGGCCACUGUGAACUGGCUGGGAGUGGGAGGUGACGUAUGGUGGGUGUGCAUUUGUUAGAGGACACGAGGGACAGGGCGGAGGCUGUUGGAGUUGACUGCGGUCUGAGUUGACUGAGAACGUUGGUGAUAGGCUGGCGACCGUUAGGGAGAGAAGGGUGUGGCUGGGAACUGAUGGCAACUGGGGAUAGGCUGAAGGCUGUCAGAAGCUGACCAGUGAACCUUGGGGACAGUCUGGGAGCUCUUGGGGGUGGGAGAGGCUUGGCAGGUGACCGUUGGGGACAGGUCAGGAACUCUCAGGACCAAACUGUAGACAUUGGGAGCUGGCUCGGUUGGGGCUACUAGGAAUGCAUGGAACCCUGAGGUAGGCCAAGGGUGUGUGGAUCAUCUAGGACAACGGAAGCCAGAAGGUGGGAGCCAAGGAGCAGGCGCAGUGGAGACACAUACCCACCGGAAAGUACUGCCCCUGUGGCCUUCACCCAAUCUGGAACCUCGCAGGGUGAGGACCCAUCAACUUCCCACCCAGCUGUGGAACCAGGACUCAUGGGCGAGAGCAUCUGGGGCGCAGAGUGCCAGGCCUGGGACUCAGCAAAGCUCAACCAGCAUGGGGCUCAGAUAGUUUCCAAGUCCCUGAACACGACUGACAGAUCCAGGAGGCCCCUGCGAGUGGACUGCUGCAUCCACAGAAGCAUGAAGCCUUGGGUUGGACUCAGAUUCCCGUCAUACUGUGAUGUUUCCAGACCUUUCUGAACACAGGCUACAGUACUAGAGGUCGCUGACAGGCCAAAUAUCUGACUGCUGAUGCAUUGUGUAAACGGCAAUCCAGGCACUGCUCCAAGCCCUUGCCUAAGAUCUCCGUGGGAGCCCAGAGGACAGCAGAACCAACCUUCUCUGACCCUCACACCCAGGGCCUAUAUCUGAGGAGUUGCUGCAGAAUGAAAUUCAGGAAUUAAGGAGAGGGAUGGUCAAGUUUACAAGAAUUCACUCUGCAGCGCAGUUCCUGGCACCUGACCUGCUUUCUACAGAGAAAACACUCGGAAUUCAUGCCCUGAAGAGCAUAGAUCCAGGCCCCGAUCCCAGCACCUUCGCCAGUCUUCAGAAAGUGAAUCCUAGAGGAUGGUGACUCGGCCAGGGGCUCCCCUUCUUCCUCUCCCCUUACAGGCUCUUCUCCAUUCUGGCUAAGCAUGGAACAAAAACUUUGUUCUAGAUCUACCAGUUCCAUGUCUACGACCAGUGCACAAGAACCAAACUAUUCUGCUUCUGCUAACUCCUCCAUCUUUAGUCUACCAAUGACUUGGUUCUUAGGAUUCCCUGACACUUGGAAUCUCCCAGUUCCAUUUAAGUGUUACUUGACAGUCUCAAGUUCAGAGAAGGGACAACAGAUAGUGGUUCUGUUGUGUCUGAGAAAUAAGGCCAGCAACUGUGUGCCCUUGCACUGAACUGUGCCUCUUGACUGGCAUGCUAAAGUGAUGUCCUUUGUAAAUCCUAGGGCAGAAGCUGAGUCAAACUCAGGAGCUCUUCUUAGUUCUCUCCAUUUUUUUUAAGUUUGCCAAUUUCACAAGUGUUAUUUCCUCUCUGAUUACAGCACUGUUGACAGCUGCCGUUUGUCCAACUGACGUGCAAAGCCUGGGAAAACAUGGCAGUGGGGUGUAGCUUUGGCUCAUCCUGGAUGGGCCUCAGACUCCAGUUGCCCUGUUGAGCUCGUCUAAGGUCUACCCUGGGCUAGAAGUGUCAAGGGCAGGAAGUGCAGCCCUAGGGAUUUCCUCUUUGUAGCCAUCAGCUUCAAGGGCCUUGUUCUCUUCCCACUACCUUUUACCUUCAUUUUUUUCACAUCCUCCCCUCAGGGUUUGUGUGCUCCCCAUGGAGAGGCUUGGCCAUUAUGAACAUAGCCUAUCAAAUUUAGAAUGAGUUAGAGACAAAACUUCUACCUGGCUGGGACCUCUCACUGGGAACUUCCUCUGGGGACAUUUAGAUGAUCUAAGAGCCACCUCUCCUAGAGCCCCUUUGUUUUAAACCGGAUAUAAAGUGCUUGGUGCACACACAUGCACCACCUUCACAACAGAGGCCUGUCUCGGAACUGGAGCACUUCCUGGAGGUGGUUCCUAACUGUCCAAUCCUACCUUGUGGCUGUGCAGAUGGGGUCGGCCCUUAUCAUGUACUACUAAAUAGCAAAAGAAUAAAGCUGCCUGUUUAUAAUACCCAAGAAUAUUGAAUAUUCAAGGGAUGGACCAAAAAAAAAAAAA